AUGGCUGCGUUCCGCCCUCAAACCCUAAAUUCCUUCCCUUGAUUUUUGCAUCUCAACCAUUUUCUCGAUCGUCGAAUCGAUGCUGAUGCUAUUUCUAAUCCCAACAGGCAAACCCAUCUGUGUUUGUUUCUGUUGCCUGCGGCCCCUUUUUGUUCUCUUGUAGUCUGCUAAUUUGAUUUGAUCGCUCUUUGGCCCUUUCCGUCGGUUGACUCGAUCGUGCAUUUAUUUAUUCGGGUGAUUCUGGGGCCAGAUUCGUCUCCGUCGGCCGCGUCCCAUUCCGAAUGAAGAAUCUGAUGACAUAUAUUAAUUGGAAGUGUGAAAGCUAUCUGGUUCUGCCUUGCAGAGCCUGUUAGAUGGAUAAACUUAAGGAAGCAACUGUCUCAUAGAAUACAUGGGAGCAGUUGUUGUGUUGGAGGUCUAGCCAAACCUCAAUCUUUACCAGAAAGAACGCCGAUGGCAUCUAAGAAGAUAAAUAUUGGUCAUUUUUCAGCACACAAAGAAAGCCAAUGGUCUUCAAGUCCAGAGGCAAUGGAGAACAAUAUUAGCACAUCUCAUUCCCUUGAGACAAAUUUCUCUUUAGCACCUAAUGCUGCCAAUGAGAUCAUGAUGUUGCCAGAGGAAAAUCAUAACAACUUAGUUACUAAUCAAGCUGCUAUAGCUUGGAAUGAGAUGCGAAGAGAAUGGGUUGGAGAUCAGUCUAAGAGAUCCCAUAUGGCUCCGAGAGAACCCACAAUAAGCUGGAGCACCACAUAUGAGGAUUUAGUCUCAACCACUCAACCUUUUCCGCAAGUUGUUUCUUUGGCUGCUUAAAUGUUUGAUGUUUCCUUGCAGCUGGAGCACCACAUAUGAGGAUUUAGUCUCAACCACUCAACCUUUUCCGCAACCCAUCCCAUUGUCGGAGAUGGUGGAUUUUUUAGUUGAUGUCUGGCAUGAAGAAGGCCUUUAUUAUUAGAGACUGUCGUCAUCAUAUCAACAUUGGAUCAUCCCAGUUCGAUCUUCUUGUGUGUAGAUUUCCAAGGAUGGUUGUUGUCCUUGAACCGUGCAAAUCAAACACAGAUGUUAACAGCUCCGAUGAUGUGGAUUGUAAGUCCUUCAUAUGAAAGUUUAUACAGCAUGAUUGUUAUUUUUUUGUGUCA